UAAUACGAAGGUCCCAAGCGUUAUCCGGAUUUAUUGGGUUUAAAGGGUGCGUAGGCGGGCUAUUAAGUCAGUGGUGAAAGCCCCAAGCUUAACUUGGGAACUGCCAUUGAUACUGAUGGUCUUGAGUACAUUUGAGGUGGGCGGAAUGUGUCAUGUAGCGGUGAAAUGCUUAGAUAUGACACAGAACACCGAUUGCGAAGGCAGCUCACUAAACUGUAACUGACGCUGAGGCACGAAAGCGUGGGGAGCAAACAGGAUUAGAUACCCUGGUAGUCCACGCCCUAAACGAUGAUCACUCGAUGUGUGCGAUAUACUGUACGCGUCUGAGCGAAAGCAUUAAGUGAUCCACCUGGGGAGUACGACCGCAAGGUUG
rnacentral:rRNA from 1 species